AUGGCCACUUGCCUCUCUGACCUCAUUAGUGAUCAUUCCAUUGACUUCCUAGGUUUACAGGAGACUUUGAAGAAAGACUUCUCCCCUAAAAUUAUCAGGAGAUUUGACCCCUUUGGUAAUUUUCAUUGGGAAUGGGUGCCUGUUGUAGGUAGAUCUGGUGGGAUUUUAUGUGGUAUCCGCACCAACACCCUGGAGGUGUUGGGUUGCACCAAGGGGAGGUAUGUUUUGCAGUUAAACAUCAAAUAUUUUAAAACAAAAAAAGCCUGGAUUCUCUUUGUGGUUUAUGGCUCUGCUCAUGAGGAGCACAAGGAUGAUUUCUUGAGAGAAUUAGCAUCCUUUUGCAAUAGCACAGAUUUACUCUAUAUUGUGGGUGAAGACUUCAAUAUUCUUAGACAUAAUGGUGAAAAGAACAAGAAGAUGCAGCAUUCCAAAUCUUCUGAUUUGUUCAAUGCCAUCAUUAAUACUCUGGGCAGAGAAAUUUAUAUGAGUGGGGGCAAAUAUACCUGGACUAACAAUCAAUCUCAUCCUACGCUCGAGAAACUGGACAGGGUUCUGAUGUCAGACUCCUCAGAACAAUUGUUCUCCUUGGUUUCCAUGAGAAAGUUGGUCAGAGAGCUCUCUGACCAAAACCCACUCCUUUUGUAUACUGAUGAGGAAAAGAGAGAACCUUCCAAAGCUCGAGAGUUUCGCUUCGAUCUCUCCUGGCUAAAAGAUGAUAGGUUCCUCCACCUAGUUGCUAGAAUCUAG
rnacentral:rRNA from 1 species